rnacentral:rRNA from 1 species
AUUGAACGCUGGCGGCAUGCCUUACACAUGCAAGUCGAACGGUAACAGGUCUUCGGAUGCUGACGAGUGGCGAACGGGUGAGUAAUACAUCGGAACGUGCCUAGUAGUGGGGGAUAACUACUCGAAAGAGUGGCUAAUACCGCAUGAGAUCUACGGAUGAAAGCAGGGGAUCGCAAGACCUUGUGCUACUAGAGCGGCCGAUGGCAGAUUAGGUAGUUGGUGGGAUAAAAGCUUACCAAGCCGACGAUCUGUAGCUGGUCUGAGAGGACGAUCAGCCACACUGGGACUGAGACACGGCCCAGACUCCUACGGGAGGCAGCAGCGGGGAAUUUUGGACAAUGGGCGCAAGCCUGAUCCAGCAAUGCCGCGUGCAGGAUGAAGGCCUUCGGGUUGUAAACUGCUUUUGUACGGAACGAAAAGCUCUGGGUUAAUACCCUGGGGUCAUGACGGUACCGUAAGAAUAAGCACCGGCUAACUACGUGCCAGCAGCCGCCGUAACAC